rnacentral:rRNA from 1 species
UUUUUUAAUUGAGGACUGGAAUGAAAGGUAGAAACUUUUAAGGAAUGUUUUUAUUAAAUAAUUUGAAUUUAAACUAAAAAUAAAAAUGUUUUUAUAAUUUUUUGGGACGAUAAGACCCUAGAAGCUUUUAAGAAUAAUUUUUAAUUGGGGUAAUUAUUGAAGAAUAUUAAUUUUUAUUAAUAUAAAUUAAUCUAUUUUAAGUUACUCUAGGGAUAACAGCGUAAUUUAAUUAGAAAGUUCUUAUUAAUAGUUAAGUUUGCGACCUCGAUGUUGAAUUAAAU